UGGGGAAUAUUGCACAAUGGGCGCAAGCCUGAUGCAGCCAUGCCGCGUGUAUGAAGAAGGCCUUCGGGUUGUAAAGUACUUUCAGCGGGGAGGAAGGCGAUAAGGUUAAUAACCUUGUCGAUUGACGUUACCCGCAGAAGAAGCACCGGCUAACUCCGUGCCAGCAGCCGCGGUAAUACGGAGGGUGCAAGCGUUAAUCGGAAUUACUGGGCGUAAAGCGCACGCAGGCGGUCUGUCAAGUCGGAGGUGAAAUCCCCGGGCUCAACCUGGGAACUGCAUUCGAAACUGGCAGGCUAGAGUCUUGUAGAGGGGGGUAGAAUUCCAGGUGUAGCGGUGAAAUGCGUAGAGAUCUGGAGGAAUACCGGUGGCGAAGGCGGCCCCCUGGACAAAGACUGACGCUCAGGUGCGAAAGUGUGGGGAGCAAACA
rnacentral:rRNA from 1 species